rnacentral:rRNA from 1 species
CAGUAGCCGCGGUAAUACGUAGGCGGCAAGCGUUGUCCGGAAUUAUUGGGCGUAAAGGGCUCGCAGGCGGUUUCUUAAGUCUGAUGUGAAAGCCCCCGGCUCAACCGGGGAGGGUCAUUGGAAACUGGGAAACUUGAGUGCAGAAGAGGAGAGUGGAAUUCCACGUGUAGCGGUGAAAUGCGUAGAGAUGUGGAGGAACACCAGUGGCGAAGGCGACUCUCUGGUCUGUAACUGACGCUGAGGAGCGAAAGCGUGGGGAGCGAACAGGAUUAGAGACCCCUGUAGUCCCUGUCUCUUAUAC